rnacentral:tRNA from 1 species
GGAAGAGAAUCGCUCCCGGUGGGGCGUCCGGACUUCAAAUCCGGGUGGGGCUGUCAGCCAGUCCCGGGUGGGUUCGACACCCACUCUCUUCCGCCA